GCAUAGCCUAUAAGAGAAAAAACCGUGGUGUUUCCUGCAGGUGCGAUCAUACCAGCACUAA
rnacentral:rRNA from 1 species